CUUACUGAUUCUUUCAUCGACCUUUGUAUAGUCUACUGAUAAAACCAUCCAAGAUUUAUUUAUUUAUGAGAGAGAGAGAGAGAUGCAGAGACACAGGCAGAGGGAAAAGCAGGUUCCAUGCAGUGAGCCCGACCCGGGACUCCACGCGGGACUCCACGCGGGACUCCAGGAUUGCCCCCUGGGCCAAAGGCAGGUGCUAAACCGCUGAGCCACCCGGGGAUCCGCUAAACCCACCUUUCUUAUGCAAACCACUCAAUCCAAAGUCCAUGUCUCCAUCCAUCUCCUUUAUCUCUUAAUAUCAAGCCAAUAUUUCUCCUGCUCUAAGUGACCCCAGGGACAGGUACAUAGACAACUAGAGACCACCACUAUAACCAAAAGCUCACUACAAAUCAUUCAGAUUAACCAAUCCUAAGAUGUUUGCCCUGUCCUGUCUUGCAUUUACCACAGAAGAUACAAUAAAGGAUUGUGUUCAUGCUUUC